UACAGAGGGUGCAAGCGUUGUUCGGAAUUAUUGGGCGUAAAGCGCGUGUAGGCGGCUUUGCAAGUCGGGUGUGAAAGCCCUCAGCUUAACUGAGGAAGUGCGCCCGAAACUGCAGAGCUUGAAUACCGGAGAGGAUGGCGGAAUUCCCCAAGUAGAGGUGAAAUUCGUAGAUAUGGGGAGGAACACCAGUGGCGAAGGCGGCGAUCUGGACGGAUAUUGACGCUGAUGUACGAAAGCGUGGGGAGCAAACAGG
rnacentral:rRNA from 1 species